CCUACGGGUAGCAGCAGUGGGGAAUAUUGCGCAAUGGGCGCAAGCCUGACCCAGCAACGCCGCGUGAAGGAAGAAGGCUUUCGGGUCGUAAACCUCUUUUCUCAGGGACGAAGCAAGUGACGGUACCCGAGGAAUAAGCCACGGCUAACUACCUGCCAGCAGCCGCGGUAAUACGUAGGUGGCAAGCGUUAUCCGGAUUUACUGGGUGGAAAGGGCGUGUAGGCGGGAAAGCAAGUCAGAUGUGAAAACCAUGGGCUCAACCUGUGGCCUGCAUUUGAAACUGUUUUUCUUGAGUACUGGAGAGGCAGACGGAAUUCCUAGUGUAGCGGUGAAAUGCGUAGGUAAUAGGAGGAACACCAGUGGCGAAGGCGGUCUGCUGGACAGCAACUGACGCUGAGGCGCGAAAGCGUGGGGAGCAAACAGGAUUAGAUACCCCAGUAGUC
rnacentral:rRNA from 1 species